ACCAAGGAUCCAGGACGCUUUAGGCUGGACAGGAGAGGGCCAGAGAGAAAGAGCGAGAGAGGGUUAGAGAAAACGAGAGAGAAGGAUAAGGUUAGUUCUAUGAUAAGGAAGGAAGGAACAUCAGAUCCUUUCCUCCCCAAGUUCACCUUUAGAACCCUUUUCCAGGGGAUUAACGAGUGCGGAGAGAGAGAUUUUUUUUUUAAAUGACAAGAAAAGGAACAUGAAAGAAAUCAUCAUUAAACGCACUUGAAGUUAUCUCUUCCUUUUCGCACCUCUCUCUAAUUUAAUCUUAAACCCACUCCAAGUUCCCCCGAGGGACUUCUCUCUCUGUUUCAAGAGAGACAGAAUCAGAAGAGUCCAUUCCUCCUGAUUCCCACCCAAGUGGGAAUAAAAACAGGAUUCCACUCUUUCUUUCUGCUCCUCCUCUCAUCCCUCGUUCCCUUCCUCUCCGUCAUGACGUUGCUGGCCUCUGAGAGGUCGCUUCUCAUCCGGAACAAAUUCCGCUCAGUCUUGCAGUUGAGGAUUCAGAACCGAAGGCAAAAUGAAAUCGACUCUGGAGAUAAAGAUCAGAGUAAAGCUCUGCGUCUAACUGACGAUGGUGCCACUCAGAAGUCGCGCCUGUGUGGUCUGAACACUAAAACUGCACAAGACAGGAGUGUGUGUGGAGCUGGGAGGCAGAAGAAGGCUCGGCUGGCUGAUGACCUCGGAAAGAAGAUCCAGCGUCGGCCAGGACCUCUUGAGCUACUGCACAAACACAUACUGCCUCUGGAGAACCGCCCUGUCUCCUUCCCUCUCUCCUCAGAUGUCUUCCAAGAUGACAUCUCUUCCUGCUCCUCCUCCUUGUCUUCCGAGCAACUCGGUGUCCUCCUAUCACCUGCACUCUCCUCAUCGCCGGGGUUCUCAGACGACCAAUCACUGAGUGACCUGUCGCCUGGGGUCUCGCCCCUUACCCACAGUCCCGCCCAUGCUCAGUCUAUCUUGGCGUUGCUCCCAGCAACUGAGGGCAUCAGGCAGCCAAUGUGCAUAACUGUGGGCGACUCCAGCUCCAUGGCAACGACCGGGAGACUAAAGAGGAUGUAUCUGACCUCCCAUGCCACGCCCCUGCUGCCAAAGACAGCCCGGUCUCUCACACCUCCCGCCGACACUUCCUCCCUCAUUCCCUCCCUGACUUCCUCUCGUCCCCCCCGCCCGCGGAAAACACGGGACUCACAGCCCAAGAUGAGGAAACUCAAAUACCACCAGUACAUUCCCCCCGACCAGAGAGGCACGGCCGGGACUGCCGGGGGAGGGGCCAGUCAGAGGAGCCCCAUCCCGGCCCAGCCCAUAGACCCCGCCUACUCCAGCCUCCUGCAGCAACAGCAGGUGUUCCUCCAGCUGCAGAUCCUCCAGAACCAACAACAACAACAGCAGCAGCAACAGGACCAGCAGCAACAGCAGCAGCUCACCGUCACACCCAGUGGAGACACCAACCAAAUCAUGAGGUUCUCUGGAGCCACACCCCAGAACCCUCAGCCUGUAUCCACGGCAACAAACCCCACCCUUGUGGACACAAGUCCCUCCCACACGUCUGAGCUCCUCCCACCUAACCUGGUCGACCUCACGGUGUCUGAGUUGCGACAGCAGCUGCGUAAGCGAGGUCUCCCUGUCUCUGGCACCAAGCCCUCCCUCCUCCAGAGGCUCCGCCCUUUCCAGCUGCCCCACCUCUGCUUGACCCCUGUGCCCCUCUGCCAGCUGGGUACGAGCCUGGAACCCCUCACCCCCUCCUCCUUGCUCACCCCCACCCACAACCCCAGCUCCAGCCCCGGCUCUGGGCCUGAUUCUCCCACCAACAGCCCUAACCAUCAGGUCUACAUCCAGUCCACUGGAAUUCUGAGUGGGGUUCCAAACGGUAUUCCUAAUGGAAUAGUGGUCAGUGUGGUGGGGGAGCAGUGUGGCUUCCUGGCCCCUGCGUUGACCCCAUCGUCGACUCCCAGCCCCGGCCUCCCCCCCUGCUCCUCUUCGCCCCUGUUGACUGGCGCCUCCUGGAGGUCGGAGCAGGAGCAGCAGGAGCUGAGCCUGGAGCUGGAGAUGAGGGAGAGGAUGAGGAGCAGGCCCAGGGAGAGGCUAUCUCCUCCUCUGUCUCUGUCCUGUGGAGGUUCCCUCCAUCCCUUCCUGCAACAGGAUCCAGGAUGGCCCAGAGGGACACCAGAGACGGACAGAGAGACAGAGAUCCUGUUCACACAGGUGUUCUGCUGCCAGCCGUGUGACGUGAUUGGCCAGGACUUUGAGCUGCCCAUGCAGAUCACAGCCAGUCCCAUACAAGCCCCACCCAGCGUCCGCAGUCUGGAGGAGGAGCUGCAGGAGGCCAUUAACAGAGUACUGAUGGACCCCAGUCAGUCAAUAGAUGACAUUCUGGAAGAACCUACCAUCUGUGUGGACUCCCACUCCUCCUCUGUCUCAGAGCUCCAAUCCCCUGUCACUAUCCUCCCUGGCCCCUCCCCUCCUCCCCAAACAGACCAAUCCCAGCCCUUCUGUUGUCAUUCAAAGGAUGACAACUUCCUCUCCUCUCCUCUAUGCUCCUCCCUCCUGCUGGAGCUCCCGCCGUCGCCUUCGACAAUGGGUCCCCGCCAAGCCGCCCCACCCCCUCUCCCUCCCUCCAUCUGUACUUCCCCCCCGCCUCCCACUGUGACCUCACGGAAGAGGCGGGCUCAGGAAACCUUUGACCCUGCUGAUUGGUUGGACUUGCUGACCUCUGGACUCCGCCCUCCCAGUCCUCCAUCCGCCCCAUUCGUUGAGACCGACUUUGGCCUCAAUUCGGAUCUAAAUGUCAACCGAGCAUUGGAUCUCAUGGUGGAGCAGUGGUGAAGGUCUUGGGUGGACUGAGUGUCAGUGUGUGUGUGUGUUUGUGUGUGUGUGUGUGUGUGUGUGUGUGUGUGUGUGUGUGUUGAUAUUCACGCACACACCCAUUGUAUAUUUAUCUGAAUUGUUGCCAAAUAUACUUGUAGCUACUUGUUUGUGUACACUAAGUGUGCAAUGUCUCUAAGUAUUGAUUUACUAUGGUUGGUCUGUAAGAGAGAGAGAGAGAGAGAGAGAGGAGAGAGAGAGAGAGACUCUGCUUCUACAUUUCGUGCCUAUUUUAAUUGUGGUCUCAACACUGAUGGUCUGUUGCUGCAAUAUGUCACACUGUGAGGGGGUCACUAAAACCUAAUCAACCACUAUGUUCAAUUCAUUGCUUGUCUUUUUUUUCUCUAAGAGAAGAAAAGAGGUAAACAUCCUAUUAAGCCAAGAGAUAAAUAGCAAUCAUUCACUCUGAGAGGCUUCAGCGCCUGCUACACGACCAUAUUACCAGAGUGUAUGUUCUCAUCAGUAUAUGAGAACAGGUGGUCACUAUGUUUUAUGAGGACCUCCCACAGUGUUUGGAGGAAACAGCUUGGCGCUCUACACACUGUAAGGGCCACAGUUACUGUUUACACCUGUUGUUAUGGAGAAUAAAAGGUCAAAUAAAGGUUAAGUGCAGGAUAAUAAUGUCAAUUAAUUUCAUGAAACAAUUUCAUGAUUUUAGCUGUUAAAACAGGAAUAAACAGGAAGUAAAUCUAUCCGAAAGAGAGGCUUUUCUGAUUGCAGGAAGUGACACAGGUGUUCCCUGAGACCACAAUCUCUAUCUUGGCCAGUUCCAAAUUGACCCCUAGCCCCUACCCCAUAGGCACUUGAGGAGGAUAGAACUGGAUAGAUAUAAUCAAUAUGGUAAUAGUGCCACCAUUCCCCUGAUAGGCUAUGUGGAACUUUCCCCAUAUUGCUCACUGCUAUCCAGUAGGAAGUAGUGCCCUGGGGCGAGGGGCUAGAGGCUAGGGGUCAGUAUGGGAUUGGCCAUAUUAAUGUUAAAUGACCACCAGGGGUGUCCCAUCAGUAAAGAGCUGAGGAGGUGAAUACUGUACUUCUUCCUAACAUGGAUCAUGAUGAAGUUGUCUGUGUUUCCGUGCUAUCAGUGAUUGACAAGGCAGUCCAAGGGCUUAUUCACAGGGUCAGAAUUUUCAGUAUUUACAGAGCAGAUAUUAUUCUCUAUUCCACAUGAUGUUCUACCAGAUCCAAUGGUUCCGAGGUCAUGACAGACUUAAUUCAGCUGUUGUGAUUCCGAUUAGUUGUAUGGCCUGUCAAUUAGUGAAGUAUGCGAGCACUGAUAAUGGCCUGGUCUGAGAGCAACCCACAACCUCUGUUAGCAGUAUGGCGACGGCUCCACCUAGCCUUCCAAUAGGCUUAGGGGAACUUCUGCCAAAUAACUUCUGCCUAUCUGGUUCAUGUAGAUUAGAAAACCAAAAGGGUGUAGGGGCUAGGGGUUGUUUUUGGACCAGGCCUGUGUUAUGUUCAUUGGGAGAAUACACCACAUAGUGUGCCUUCUAACCUCCUAGCUGACUCGACACCCUUCUUAAAGACCAUUGUGUGAACAACAAACUGUGAUCUUACUAAUGUUCCCCAGAGACAUAUUUAUUUAUAUCCAUAUAUAUGGCUCUGAUGUUCCCCACCCAGUCUCUGAAUAAUAACCACUGCGCUAAGUGCAAUAUGCUGUAUGUGAAGGGCACAGCCAUUGGGAAAUACCAGGCCACCAUAUCUCUGUCUUGUCGUUACUCUAAACAAAAUGGUGUAAUGGGUCCGCACGCAAAAAGAUGUCGCAUAGAGCUUACUUCAUUAUACACUCUUUUUUUUCUCACGGCAUCAGGGUUAGCAUACACAGAUGUUUUGGCUUUACAGCCUUCUUCAGUGUGUUGGUACAAAUUUAUUUUAAUUCAAAACAGCAUUUGUAGGGCACAACCGAUUAGCAGCAGGUGCUUCUAAUCAGGGUUACCAAUCAUCUGCCAAGCUUUCAUGUUGAAGCAUUUCACGAGCAGCUUUCAUCGUAGAACUGUAGAAAACCAUGUUGAAUGGUGAGAAUGGGACAGACUGACGACCGUGAUAAUCACAGUGGUCAAAGACGUUGUCUGUCUGCUGCACUUAGGAUGAAGAGCGAGAGAGACACCGGAGAGUAACAUGCUACCUCUUGUGAAUGGAGAUGCUUUAGGCCUGCUGUAUUCUGUCUGGUCCUGGACAACCACUGUGUAUUCUGGUUUUCAUCUGAACCAGUCUCUUCCCCUAAAUCUGUGCUGAUAUCACCUGAAUUGUUAGGAGUGUUUCACUUUCAGAAUGAGUGGAGAGGUUGGUUGGUUGGGAGAACUGACUACACUAGGUUAUUCCAGGGAAAGCAACAGGAGACUAGGCGAAGCUAUGCUGCAAAUGCCUGAUCCCUCCCCCUUCCUGUCUGUCUGUCUGUCUGUGUUGUGAAGGUUUUUCUGUCCCCCCUUUAGGCAUUCUGUUGCCAGAAUGAGACAAAGAGGGAUUAGACUGAGAUGUUGUCAUAAACGAGACCAGGAAGUAUCAGAGCCAACUGUUGCCAUUGUUUCAGUCAGCUCCAUUCUUUGGGAGUUCAAUUUCGCUUCCAAUGCCGAUAUACUUCCAGGAUAAUCUUCAAAUUAAUGACAUCACUGUCUAAUCCGUCUUCAUCUCAUUCUAGUACUGUAACCAGGACGUGUGGGGAUUUGAUUUAUUCAUUGAUCAUUUAACUUAUUCAGGCAAAAUGUUAUUGAUCCAUGUCCAAAUUGUAUUGUAAAAAAAACAUUAAGAAAUUAAAAGUCUUAAUAGAUUUCCCAUC